GGCUCUGCUGCCAUGAAGGUGAAGAUUAAGUGCUGGAACGGCGUGGCCACUUGGCUCUGGGUGGCCAACGAUGAGAACUGUGGCAUCUGCAGGAUGGCAUUUAACGGAUGCUGCCCUGACUGCUGGAGUGCAAUGGCGCGAUCUCGGCUUGCCGCAACCUCUGCCUCCCGGGUUCAAACGGUUCUCCUGCCUCAGCCUUCCAAGCAGCUGGGAUUACAGGCAUGUGCCCGGCGACGACUGCCCGCUGGUGUGGGGCCAGUGCUCCCACUGCUUCCACAUGCAUUGCAUCCUCAAGUGGCUGCACGCACAGCAGGUGCAGCAGCACUGCCCCAUGUGCCGCCAGGA
rnacentral:lncRNA from 1 species